UCCCCAAGAAGUAGGGAUGCCUCCACAGC
rnacentral:piRNA from 1 species